rnacentral:rRNA from 1 species
UACGUAGGGUGCAAGCGUUGUCCGGAAUUAUUGGGCGUAAAGAGCUCGUAGGCGGUCUGUCGCGUCGGCUGUGAAAUCCCGAGGCUCAACCUCGGGUCUGCAGUCGAUACGGGCAAACUAGAGUAUUGCAGGGGAGACUGGAAUUCCUGGUGUAGCGGUGAAAAUGCGCAGAUAUCAGGAGGAACACCGGUGGCGAAGGCGGGCCUCUGGGCAAUAACUGACGCUGAGGAGCGAAAGCGUGGGGAGCGAACAGG